UCUUGCAAUGUACUACGCUGUAGAUAAAACAGAUUAACAUCCAUGUUUUAUUACCACAUGCUCAUAAACGUAAAUCAGUGAAAGAUUGUUUACUUUUUAUUUGUUUCGAAAUAUAUUACAUUAGCUCUUGCGUUUCCUCCCUUUGCGUAUUAACAAAUAUACGUAUUGUUUACAUUUAUUUGUACUUAUUAUGUUAUUUUAAACGAAUAAAUAUUUAUAGACUGAACGAUAUAAGGUUAUUUUAUGUAUAUGAAAAAUUUCUCUCUAUAGUUAGUUAUACCUUGUAUAUUUCCUUUACACGAAAUUUAACUAAUAUAAUUUUUUUUCGCAUGUAUAAUUGAUAUAUAAUUUUUGUACUGUUUUUCGCUUCUGCUGUAUCGAUCGAGAACAGGAUAUCAUCGAUUGUAUAUUUGCGAAGAUCAUUAUGGAUUACAAUUAUGUUACAUUUUCCUUGUAUAUAUAAAAAUUGUUGCAUGAGUAAAAAGAAAACUGUAAACUGAAAUUAUAUUAAAAUGUUAACUUAAUUAUGGUUAUUAUUUUUACAUUUUAUGCCUUAAAAUGUAAAAAUGUCAUUGUGUAUGUGAUACAGUGUUUUACUUUCACCGUUUUCUCACAAUAAAUAUAUGAAAUAUAAAUUUUAUAAAAAUGACUCAUUUUGAUAAAGACACGUAUAUUGAAUGUUUACCAGUAACUGUAUAUAAUGAGAUAGUUAAUGCAUUGAAUAAAGACGCAGCUUGGAUAACAUUAGCAAAUCAUGUAGCUGAAGAGCUUCAAUAUCCAUGUACUCUGUGGAUACAAUCUUUAAACGAGAUCAAACAUCCAAACGAUUCUCCUGGACAAAAGCUGCUUUCUGAAUUAAGUAUUAAAAUGUGUACUAUAGAGAUUUUACAUACUUUAUUAAGCGACUGCAAGCUUUAUAACAUUCUUUCAAUUAUAUCUGAUCCAGAACCUUUGAGCAUUAUUAUGCAUCCAACAGAGGAAUUUCAAACUAGCAUUUUGAAAGUAUCAUUUGGACAUCGUCUUCGUCUAUGCUGUAAAGCUGUUGGGAUGCCAUUACCAAAUUACAUAUGGUACCAUAAUAAUAAUGAAUUGCAGCACUGUACUUCUGAUGUGCUUGAUUUUAUUAUAGUUAGUGCUUCUCAAGCAGGAGAAUAUAGAUGUAAGGUAUUUCAAAUUAAAAAUGAUGGAACUCUCAUAUCAACUUUGACUUCAAAGGCUAUAACUGUACAAAUUUUUUCUACACCUGUUGUGAUAGAAGAACAACCACAGCCACUUUUAGAAGUUAAAGAAGGUGAAAAUUUUACAAUUCAUUGUAAAGCCAAUAGUUAUUCCAAACCACGUUACCAAUGGUUCCAUGACAAUACUAAACUAGAAGGAGAAACAUCUAACAUUUUGCAUGUAAAACAAUUUAGUUUGAAGAAUGAAGGAAAAUAUUAUUGUUAUAUUUAUAACGAUAUCAGUGAAAUUUAUACGCAAAGAACUCGUGUAAUGAUGGAUCUUCCAAAAUUUAAAGCAGUUGCAAAAAUAGCUUUGGUCAUUGCGAAUGAAGAGUAUGAGAACCAUGAAUGUCUUUUAACAUCUAAAAAUGAUGCUGCGUGCAUUGGUAAUCUUCUUAAAGAAAUAGGAUUUGAAGUAAUUUGUCUCCUCAAUUUGACAAUUACUCAAAUGAAAAAUGCAAUAAAAAUAUUUAGCAAAGCUUUAGUUGAAGGAGUGUAUGGCUUAUUCUAUUUUGCUGGACAUGGUUUUAAAAUGCAAGAAAGUUAUAUGCUUGCAACAGAUGCUCCAGAAGCAUAUUUAAGAAAAGAUGCAAUAUGUGAAAGUGAACUAUUGUCUGCAUUCCUUGAGAAUGAUCCUGAACUAUUAAUUGUUAUUUUAGAUAUGUGUCAAACUUUACCUUCAAAAGAAUUUAAUCCUGAGAUAUACCAUGAGGUACCAACAGUGAAUGUGUAUAAAAGCAAGAAGAAUCUUAGAAAUUUAAUUCAAGCAUACUCUACAUCUAGUCAUCGACCGAGUUAUGAGAAAUUAAAUUGUAAAUAUGGUUUAUAUAUGGAACAUCUCAGCGAAUAUAUUAAUAAAGAUAUAACUGUUACAAAAUUAUUUGAAGAAGUAGGAAAAUCAAUUGAUAGCUGUUUUAAAGGGAAAGAACGGAAUCAAAUUCCAAUGUUUGCUGUCUCUGUUACAAAACCAUUUCGUCUUACUGAUGCUACUUAUAAAAACAAACGUCGCGUACAUCUACAAGGAUUAUUUCAUCUUUUCUUCGAACUACACAAAUUCGCGAAUGAUCAAAAAUAUGAUUCGAUCGAAGAGAAUUCAAAGAACACAGAAGAUUAAGUUGAGAAGUUGAGGAAAUUCAAGUUUUUUACGUCACUGUCUCAAAAUAUAACUUCACAUCACGUUGCAUUUCGCGAACUGUCCAAUCCAAAUUUGGUGGGACCUCGAAAGUCAAGGACAAAAUAUCGGAGGAUCCGCAAAGGAAGCCAAAAGUGUCCUGGUUAUUUUAGCGGUUUACGCAAUCGCGCGUUACUUUCACGCGCAGCGGCGAUCGUUUGCCGUCGGUUUACAUAGCUGACCGGUACUCGACGAGGGAAUCGCGUGCAAAGGACGUAUCCGGAGCAGAUCCGCGGUUUCCUCGCAGCCGACCGGAUUGCUCAAAUCCAAGGAUUUCUACAUUCUAACACGCGCACCCACUGAUAAACCGCGUACGAUCGCGUUAUCUGCGCUCGAGCGUUCGACGCACGGGCGUGUCACGCUUGGUCGCUCGGAAUCGCCGAGAAUAUUGUCAGAAUAAAUAUUUCCAAAUACCAUUUGUGCCAAAGGUACCGCCUCCGUGCACGUUUUCGCGUUUCACUGGAAUACUGGGUGAAAAUUUUUCACCAUGCGAACAGAUAUACUUUCCUAUUAUAUGUAACUUGCGAACGUAGACUUCGUACGAUAUAUUAGUCAGCAACUCGCAACACCAAUUUACAGUAUGACGUAGCAAUGAGUAAUACUAUAUAAACAAAAUACAACUCGUAUGUACACAUAACGGUAGCAUGAUUUUUAGAUAAUAGUUCCGAUGGAACUUGGCUUUAGAAAAUUGUUAUCCUCUAUCGAUAGUGGAAAUACCGGGAAUAUGCUGUUAUAUCGAGCUGUAUCAAAAAUUUUCAAACAAACAGAAAAAUCUUUAAAACACGAAUCAGUUGUUAUCUUGUCAGAGAAAAAUUUAUCUCAUGUAUCGGUUUUUUAUUUUAUUCCAACAGAAUGUGAAACUUUCUAUGUCUAUGUAACGAUACUUGUUUGCUAUUAACGAGAUAAUAGUAUUUUGCUUAACACGGUACAUAAUCUUCGUGGUGUAAAAGUGUUAUCUGUAGGUAAAACUCGAAGGAAGCUCGUUAACAUAGGAAAUUGAUAUGGCAAAGAAUCAAAGACUCAGGAUGAAAAGCCUGCGUUUCGCGGUUAAAUCGUGCUCGCGUGCCACAUUUCCCGCUAACUUCUGAUUAACAUUCUUGGCUGGUUGCCGUACGAUGGUACCGAUCGCCGAUACACCUGCAACCGGCGCACUGUUCCUCGAUAUCGCGAUACGAUGUGCACCACGUGCCAUCGGAAAUUCCAUUGACUGGCAGAAAGCGUGGAGCCGGCACAUUAUGUAAUUCACGGACGAACUGCACCUACGAGUUUCCUAUUCCUGUCAGCCGGUAUUUCGAUCAUUAGACUGUGGAUGUUUGCACAUUUACGAGAAAUUUGAAAGUACAAAAUCGCGCAGAAUGCGCAUAAUACGAAAAGAUGUAUAAAAUAUGCAAAGCUUAGCGCUUUCUACGAUUCUUGGAAAGUGAAACAACUUUCUACCGAGGUUUUACUUUUUGAAUUACAUUGUCAAAAGUAUGAAUUCGCAUAAAAAUUCGCGGUUUGACGGAAACUCCGCUAAUUUCGAUUCUUACCGCACCUAUACGCGUAUGCGACGAUCAAAUUUUUAUUUUUACGAGAAUAGGAACGGAAUUCUGCAAAUGGGUGAAUCCGUUGGAUACGAUGUUUCCGUAAAGUUCGGUACAGGUCGGUGACGUUUUAAUUCGACUCCGCGAGUUUCGCAUUCCAGCAUUCUGCGAGCAACAGACACUUGUCGACGGGAACUGCGACCAGAUCUGCGUUUACGUGCAACGGACGGACACCGCAGCUCGGUAUCCUCGAUAUCGGUACAAAUAUGGUGCGAUCGCUGGGACACAUACGCGCUGUAUCGAGCAACGUCUUUCUGCGUAGUUGGGCGACGAUGUUUGCGAAUCGUGAGACCGGUUCCACAUGGAGAUACGGGAAUAGAUCGAAGUUACGGUGGUCCACGAAAGUAUUUCAACUCUCGCCGUAGAAAACUUUCGUAAAUACAUUGCGUGUGUUAUACGUAACUUCUUGCAAUUUCAUUAGCGCUAUAAUGAUAUAAGAGGCACGAUCGUCGUGAUUAGAUGCUUCAAAUUUGAAAUCACAAGUUUAUACUAAAUAUUAAAAAUAAGACCUAUUUAUUGGAAACACACGCUUAGUGAAAAAUUAAGAUACAGCAUACACAUUGAUCUUGGUAAAAAAUCUCUUUAGCAAAUGUUCGAAUGCCUUCGUCGGACACUGUACGUUAAAUUGUAUACAACGUACAUUUGAUACAGUCGAUUCUACAAAGUGACAAGAUCGCUCUUAUAACAAGCGAUGCUUUUGAUCGCUGGUCGUUAAUUCGUCUAUUUCACACUCGUGCAUUGGCCAGUACUUCUGUAUAAUCUUCCGCGUAUCUUCUCUGUGAAAGAGUUUCAAAGUUAUAUCCCUGUUCAAUCUGAAACUCUUGAAAGGUAAUUUUAAAGCGAUCACGAGGACGUUUCAUUCUACUCUAUCGCUGAAGAAGAGAACACGUGUAUCUAAAGUGGUAACGUUUUGUUCGCUCUGCUCGUUGACAGAAGGAACAUCCAUAAAGUGGUCACAUCCCUCUGUCCGCGCGUCACCGAUCGAACCUGGCUUCCGACAGUUUCAAUU